rnacentral:rRNA from 1 species
AUUGAACGCUGGCGGCAGGCUUAACACAUGCAAGUUGAGCGGGCGAGGUUGCUUCGGUAACUGAGCUAGCGGCGGACGGGUGAGUAAUGCUUAGGAAUCUGCCUAUUAGUGGGGGACAACAUUCCGAAAGGAAUGCUAAUACCGCAUACGCCCUACGGGGGAAAGCAGGGGAUCUUCGGACCUUGCGCUAAUAGAUGAGCCUAAGUCAGAUUAGCUAGUUGGUGGGGUAAAGGCCUACCAAGGCGACGAUCUGUAGCGGGUCUGAGAGGAUGAUCCGCCACACUGGGACUGAGACACGGCCCAGACUCCUACGGGAGGCAGCAGUGGGGAAUAUUGGACAAUGGGCGAAAGCCUGAUCCAGCCAUGCCGCGUGUGUGAAGAAGGCCUUUUGGUUGUAAAGCACUUUAAGCGAGGAGGAGGCUACUUGGAUUAAUACUCUAGGAUAGUGGACGUUACUCGCAGAAUAAGCACCGGCUAACUCUGUGCCAGCCGCCGCGGUAAUAC